GACCUCUCAGGGUCGCACCUGCAGAGUUUCCAGUACUCUACCAGUCUGGUCUACAGGAGGGAGAGUCAAGCAGAGGCCUGUCCAUUCCAUCCCUAGCUUGAGCAGUGGCUAGCAACUGGAAGGCAAUCUGCUACAAGU